GUUGCAGAGCCAGGAUUCAAACACAGGCCACCUUUCUCCAGGACCCUUGCUCCACACCACUGUGGAGAGAAACCAACAGCUGCUGAGAUGGCUGAGGCUGGACGGUUUAUGACAGCCUUGCUGGCCACUUGGGACAACUGGGGCCUCCCUUUACAUGGCUGUUCUCCCCGGACAGGCUUCCCAGCACCUGCCUUCAAAGGCCGAAGCGCCUCCCAGAUGGCCCCUUGAACAUCGGCGGGGCUCAGCCCUCUGAUCUUCCCUCACCACUGAGAAAGGGGGCCAGCGGGACCCCAGACCUCCUGUGCGGGCCCAUCCCGGAGCUGCCCAGUGGUCAGACCCAGAAAGUCGCCUGCCUCCGGGCCGGGUGCCGCCACAUCACAGAGGACACCUGAACUACAGCUUUUGUCGUGACAAGACAGAAUCAGAAGAUAAUAAGGAUUCUCCAAGCUGACUCUGGCUGAGGGCUUUUUUUUUUUUUAAUCCCACCCUGUUGCUCCAAGGGAAAGAAAGACUGAAAAAGCACCACUUCCCUCCAUCUUCCUCCAUAGUAUUAUUUCCACAGCUUGAUAGAGAAGAGCACAUUAAAAUCGCCCAAGCAUGGGAAAAUAAAAAAUGACUAUUGUAUGAUACAAAUUGGACCAGAUAAUUC